rnacentral:rRNA from 1 species
CAGUCGACGACUUCCGUUAUUGAUUAUGACGUACUUGUACUGAUUGAGAUUUUAACACGAAGUGAGUGGCGAACGGGUGAGUAACACGUGGGUAACCUGCCCAGAAGUAGGGGAUAACACCUGGAAACAGAUGCUAAUACCGUAUAACAGAGAAAACCGCAUGGUUUUCUUUUAAAAGAUGGCUCUGCUAUCACUUCUGGAUGGACCCGCGGCGUAUUAGCUAGUUGGUGAGGUAAAGGCUCACCAAGGCAGUGAUACGUAGCCGACCUGAGAGGGUAAUCGGCCACAUUGGGACUGAGACACGGCCCAGACUCCUACGGGAGGCAGCAGUAGGGAAUCUUCCACAAUGGACGCAAGUCUGAUGGAGCAACGCCGCGUGAGUGAAGAAGGGUUUCGGCUCGUAAAGCUCUGUUGUUAAAGAAGAACGUGGGUAAGAGUAACUGUUUACCCAGUGACGGUAUUUAACCAGAAAGCCACGGCUAACUACGUGCCAGCAGCCGCGGUAAUACGUAGGUGGCAAGCGUUAUCCGGAUUUAUUGGGCGUAAAGCGAGCGCAGGCGGUCUUUUAAGUCUAAUGUGAAAGCCUUCGGCUCAACCGAAGAAGUGCAUUGGAAACUGGGAGACUUGAGUGCAGAAGAGGACAGUGGAACUCCAUGUGUAGCGGUGAAAUGCGUAGAUAUAUGGAAGAACACCAGUGGCGAAGGCGGCUGUCUGGUCUGCAACUGACGCUGAGGCUCGAAAGCAUGGGUAGCGAACAGGAUUAGAUACCCUGGUAGUCCAUGCCGUAAACGAUGAUUACUAAGUGUUGGAGGGUUUCCGCCCUUCAGUGCUGCAGCUAACGCAUUAAGUAAUCCGCCUGGGGAGUACGACCGCAAGGUUGAAACUCAAAAGAAUUGACGGGGGCCCGCACAAGCGGUGGAGCAUGUGGUUUAAUUCGAAGCUACGCGAAGAACCUUACCAGGUCUUGACAUCUUCUGACAGUCUAAGAGAUUAGAGGUUCCCUUCGGGGACAGAAUGACAGGUGGUGCAUGGUUGUCGUCAGCUCGUGUCGUGAGAUGUUGGGUUAAGUCCCGCAACGAGCGCAACCCUUAUUACUAGUUGCCAGCAUUAAGUUGGGCACUCUAGUGAGACUGCCGGUGACAAACCGGAGGAAGGUGGGGACGACGUCAAAUCAUCAUGCCCCUUAUGACCUGGGCUACACACGUGCUACAAUGGAUGGUACAACGAGUCGCGAGACCGCGAGGUUAAGCUAAUCUCUUAAAACCAUUCUCAGUUCGGACUGUAGGCUGCAACUCGCCUACACGAAGUCGGAAUCGCUAGUAAUCGCGGAUCAGCAUGCCGCGGUGAAUACGUUCCCGGGCCUUGUACACACCGCCCGUCACACCAUGAGAGUUUGUAACACCCAAAGCCGGUGGGGU